rnacentral:rRNA from 1 species
UACAGAGGGUGCGAGCGUUAAUCGGAAUUACCGGGCGUAAAGCGUGCGUAGACGGUCAUGUAAGUCGGGUGUGAAAUCCCCGGGCUCAACCUGGGAAUUGAAUUCGAGACUGCGUGGCUAGGGUGCGGAAGAGGGAAGCGGAAUUUCCGGUGUAGCGGUGAAAUGCGUAGAUAUCGGAAGGAACAUCAGUGGCGAAAGCGGCUUCCUGGUCCAGCACCGACGUUCAGGCACGAAAGCGUGGGGAGAAAACAGG